rnacentral:misc_RNA from 1 species
GCUGAAGAACGUAGCGAAAUGCGAUACGUAAUGUGAAUUGCAGAAUUCAGUGAAUCAUCGAGUCUUUGAACGCACAUUGCGCCCCCUGGUAUUCCGGGGGGCAUGCCUGUCCGAGCGUCAUUGCUGCCCUCAAGCACGGCUUGUGUGUUGGGCCUCCGUCCUCCUCCCGGGGGACGGGCCCGAAAGGCAGCGGCGGCACCGCGUCCGGUCCUCGAGCGUAUGGGGCUUCGUCACCCGCUCUUGUAGGCCCGGCCGGCGCUUGCCGACACAUCAAUCUUUUUUCCAGGUUGACCUCGGAUCAGGUAGGGAUACCCGCUGAACUUAAGCAUAUCAAUAAGCGGAGGA